GCAUCAAUGAUGACAACCCAAUGUCAUGAAUAAAUGUGAUAACAUAAAAAUGAUGCUCUAGGUGUAUGCCAAGGUUC